rnacentral:lncRNA from 10 species
GUCAAACAGCAUUAUGUGCUACAGAGAACUCUUUUGUGAAAGGAAGAGUCAAUUGAUACAGCAAACCCUAUUGUCUUAUUUUAGGGAACUGCCACAGCCACCUCAACCUUCAGCAAACACCACCCUGACCAGUGAGUGGCAAUCAACAUUGAGGCAAGACCUUUCAGCAAAAAGAUUAUAAUUCUCUGAAGACUCAGAUGAUCAUUAGCAUUUCUAGCAACAAUGUAUUUUUAAAUUAAGAUAUUUGAUGUGAUUCACCAGUACAGCCAUAUGAAGAUGAUAUUUUGAUUUUAGGAAUGUUUCAUUACAAAUGCAAUUCCUUCAACAGAGGCUUUUUCACUCCUCAGAAGAAAAAGUGGACACUAUAUGCCCCAAUGCAGCCGCAUUCCUGCUGGUCCCCAAAAGUAUAGUCACAAAAUUAAACAGGAUGGAGUCUCACCAUGUACCCAAGCUGGUCUUAAACUCCUGGCCUCAAGUGAUCCUCCUGCCUUGGCCUCCCAAAGCACUGGGAUUACAGAUGUGAGCCACCAUGCCCAGCCUGUCAACUUCUUAAAAUGUUCCUUUUUCCCCAAUUGUCUCUAACUAUAUGUUCUGGUCAACGUGACUACUCUAUCUUCAAAAGACUUCAUAUGAAACUUUGUUGUUUUUUCUUUCUCUAUAUAUUCCUAAUAGCUAGAACAGUGCCUGAUACAUAGUAGGUACUGAAUUAGCACUCUUUACAAAAAAUAAAGAAAAUACUAUAUACAGCCCAGCGACUCCGGCAUUUGUACUUCUAUCCUAGUCCUCUCUCUGAUUUCCAGGUCUGUAUAUUCCACUGACUACUUGGUUGUCCCCAACUGAUUACUUC